UGCUAGCGACUGGUCAGCAGCCGCGGUAAUAGGUGUGGUGCGAUCGUUAGUCGGAAUUACUGGGCGUAAAGCGUGUGCAGGCGGUUGUAUAAGUCAGAUGUGAAAUCCCCGGGCUCAACCUGGGAACUGCAUUUGAGACUGUACGGCUAGUGGUUGGCAGAGGGGGGUGGAAGUCCACGUGUAGCAGUGAAAUGCGUAGAGAUGUGGAGGAACACCGAUGGCGAAGGCAGCCCCCUGGGCCAAUACUGACGCUCAUGCACGAAAGCGUGGGGAGCAAACAGGAUUAGAUACCCCGGUAGUC
rnacentral:rRNA from 1 species